rnacentral:rRNA from 1 species
CGCAUCUGUGCAUGCAGCAUAUCAAUAAGCGGAGGAAAAGAAACUAACAAGGAUUCCCCUAGUAACGGCGAGUGAAGCGGGAAGAGCUCAAAUUUGAAAUCUUAAAGGGUUUCCCUUUACGAAUUGUAGUUUAAAGAAGUGUUUUCUGUUGAGGUUUUGGUAAAAGUUCUUUGGAAUAGGACAUCAUAGAGGGUGAGAAUCCCGUAUUUGACCUUUACUUUCAACUUUGUGAUACACUUUCAAAGAGUCGGAUUGUUUGGGAAUGCAGUCCAAAAUGGGUGGUAAAUUUCAUCUAAAGCUAAAUAUUGGCGAGAGACCGAUAGCGAACAAGUACCGUGAGGGAAAGAUGAAAAGAACUUUGAAAAGAGAGUUAAACAGUACGUGAAAUUGUCAAAAGGGAAGCGUUUGACACCAGUGUUGUUUUUCUGAAAAUCAAUUAAAGAACUGUUUAUGCUAAGUUGUUUAGACUUUAUCAGCUAACUGUUUAGUUUUGAGCUUUUCUUUAAUGCACUUUUCAGUUAACAAGUCAACAUCAAUUUCUUUUGCUGUAAAAAAGCUUGAGGAAGGUGGCUUGAGAUUCGUCUUAAGUGUUUAUAGCCUCUUGCCUAUGCAGUCGGAGAGACUGAGGUCUGCAGCGUAGAUCCUUCGGGGCUAAAUGCAUUUGUGCUAAGUUAUAGCAUUUUAUAGACAACUUGUUGACUAUGAUUUGUCUUGUAGCUUACUCACUUAUGUUAUUUUACCUACGCUUAGGAUGUUGAGCGCAUGUCUCUCUCU